AACUGUUAAUGAUGAAUUGUUUACAAACAUUGGGAAUCUCUCUGAAUAAGAGUGAAAGACAACUUGUUACUGAUACAGUG